UACAGAGGGUGCGAGCGUUGUCCGGAAUCACUGGGCGUAAAGGGCGCGUAGGUGGUGGCUUAAGCGUGCGGUGAAAGCUCGGAGCUCAACUCCGAGUCGGCCGUGCGAACUGGGCUCACUGGAGCAUAGUAGAGGCAGGUGGAAUUCCGGGUGUAGCGGUGGAAUGCGUGGAGAUCCGGAAGAACACCGGUGGCGAAGGCGGCCU
rnacentral:rRNA from 1 species